GAUGAAGAACGUAGUGAAAUGCGAUAGGUAAUGUGAAUUGCAGAAUUCAGUGAAUCAUCGAAUCUUUGAACGCACCUUGCACCCUUUGGCAUUCUGAAGGGUAUGCUCGUUUGAGUGUCAUUGUACUCUCACACUCCCGAUCUUUGCAUUGGGAGCAGUGGACUUGGGUUUGCUGCUUCACCGUCGCUUACCUCAAAUAGGUUAGUGCAACUCUUGGUUGGACAUAGUACGGCGUGAUAAGUGUUCUUCGCCGGUGCCUCGCAAAGAGGGUGGCCGAUCGGGAUGUUUGUGCUCCAAACCGUCUUCGGACAAUCUCUGACGACUUGACCUCAAAUCGAGUAAGACUACCCGCUGAACUUAAGCAUAUCAAUAAGCGGAGGA
rnacentral:misc_RNA from 1 species